GUUCUUUGAAAAUAACAAAUGGCCGACGUCUUAAGUUGUCAUCAAACUCGUUGAAGAAAAAUAGAGUUAAAUAAAUGAACGUUAUUCAAGAAAACUAAUAAAUCUUUACCCACAAGUUAUGUUAAAUAAUAAAAUAAAAUUAUCAUCCGACUCACUGUGAAAAAGAAAGGAUUGGAGUUCAAUGUGGUAUCUGGAUUAUGGAUUGUCUCUUGUGUUCGGGGCACUAACUAAUUUUCUGGAUUGUCUACAGGAUUCUUCUUACGGGAAAUUGAACUGUUUGUUCUUCGGAAAUAGGGUCUUGGAUGAUCUCGAAGAAGUAUCGGUAGUUCUUGGAAUAGGUUGUAGGAUGAUUCUCUUUUUAUUUUAAUAUUGUUAUCUCUUCAAAAAUUCUUCUAUCUGACGACGUGGAUUCGACGCUGGUCCGACGACGACUCUCUCACUCCCUGUUCGCGAUCUCCUUAUAUACCCCGGCACUCCAACUGUUUUUUCCUCGUUUCUGAUUGGCUCUUAGCUUCGCGCCCUUUUCAAAAUUCAAAAUUCUUGCUUCGAAACUAGCGUCAUCUCUUGAUUUUUCUCGGAAUUAACCUUCAAAAUUAAAUUCUUUUUUCGUUGAUUUCUCCCUUAUUCCUUUAUGAAACGUAAUAAAACUUCGUAU